rnacentral:rRNA from 1 species
GGCUAGGGCUCUCGACAUAAACCCGAGGGCUUUCGAGCCCGAGGUAGUCGCCUCAAGCUCGGGUCAAUCUCGGGCCUGAGGUGGCUGGCGGCUGACCCUGUUUGGGAAGGCCAAAACUAUAUCCACACCGUUUGUUUAUGUUUGACAAUGUCAUUUUUAACAAAAUGUAUAUACAACUUUUAACAAUGGAUCUCUUGGCUCUUGCAACGAUGAAGAACGCAGUGAAUUGCGAAAAGUAAUGUGACUUGCAUACAUCUGUGAAUCAUCAAAUCUUUGAACGCACAUGGCACCGUUAGGUUCUGCUUAACGGUAUACUUGUUUGAGAAUCGUAUUACCCUUUCGUUCCACGCUCUGCGGAGAACGGUAUUGAGGCCUUAAAGCGUACCAAGUUUGGUACUGAUUUGGUCUUUAAAUUGAUGGCUUUAUGAGUCCCAUGGCCAAUGCGGUCGUCGUGGGCACUGUGUGGUAAGGUGUGCAUAACGCCAAUAGCACUUUGUACCUGGCGACUACACAUGAGACUCUAAGCCCUUUACCAAUCGUGCCUGUACAGGCUUGAUUCACAAGGUGCGCAUUGCUUCCAAUGUGCAAGCCUUGGUUUACCGAUCUCAAAUCAAGCAAGACUACCCGCUGAACUUAAGCAUAUC